rnacentral:rRNA from 1 species
AGUGAACGCUGGCGGCGUGCUUAACACAUGCAAGUCGAACGAGGACGGAAUAUAGCUUGCUAUAUUUGUCAGCUAAGUGGCGCACGGGUGAGUAAUGUAUAGAUAACCUGCCCUUAAGAAAGGAAUAACAGUUGGAAACGGCUGCUAAUGCCCUAUAUGCCUUUAAUACAUAAGUAUGCAAGGGAAACGCUUUAGUGCUUAAGGAUGGGUCUGUAUGGUAUCAGCUUGUCGGUGAGGUAAUGGCUCACCAAGGCUAUGACGCCUAACUGGUUUGAGAGGAUGAUCAGUCACACUGGAACUGAGACACGGUCCAGACUCCUACGGGAGGCAGCAGUGGGGAAUAUUGCACAAUGGACGAAAGUCUGAUGCAGCAACGCCGCGUGGAGGAUGACACAUUUCGGUGCGUAAACUCCUUUUAUAUAGGAAGAUAAUGACGGUACUAUAUGAAUAAGCACCGGCUAACUCCGUGCCAGCCGCCGCAGUAA